GGGCGGGGUGGCUGGCGGUGGGGCGGCUGUUCCCGUCGCGGCCCGGGGAGCGGGUCGACCGGACUCCCCGGUUCGGUGCCCUGGCCUGCCUG
rnacentral:tRNA from 1 species